rnacentral:rRNA from 1 species
UACGUAGGGAGCAAGCGUUGUCCGGAAUUACUGGGCGUAAAGGGCGCGUAGGUGGGCGCUUAAGUCAGGUGUGAAAACUCCGGGCUCAACCUGGAGACUGCACUUGAAACUGGGUGUCUUGAGGGCAGGAGAGGAAAGUGGAAUUCCUAGUGUAGCGGUGAAAUGCGUAGAUAUUAGGAGGAACACCAGUGGCGAAGGCGGCUCUCUGGUCUGCAACUGACGCUGAGGCUCGAAAGCAUGGGUAGCGAACAGG